AGCGUCUCCGAAGGCCACCUCUCUGGCCUGGGCCAGGGGCCGAAGCGGGGUCGGCUGCGCAAGAGGCGGCAACUUUGGCUUAUACUGACUCAGCCCAGCGCCCCCUUUUUAUCCCACUUAAAAAUGGAGAAAUGGCCUCCGGGAGGAAGAUGUGAAGCGGCACGCUCUAUCUCUACUGAUCUUCACUCAAAAGCAGCCGCAGGAGCUGUUGCUAUCUCGCUGUGGUGCAGCGCUUUUCCCUCCUCCCUCACUUUCCCACAUGCCCAGAGGCAAAGUGUCUGGCCGACGUCUGAGGAGUGAAGAAGCCACUGGGAGCCACUCCCUCUCACUCACCGAACUAUGGGAGUAAAGAAGCUGCAACAUUUCUGGAGGCUCGUCCAGGUCUUCAGAAGGAUGGGUAACAAACUAUUUUCAGCCUGCACUCCUCUAGAGUGCAUCCUGAAUCACUGGGAAUCCUUUGACCUGCAGAUUCUGAAGAGAAAAUGCUGUAUAUUCCUUUGCACAAGGGCUUGGCCAGGUUAUAAGCAGCAGGAUGGAGAAGCCUGGCCUCUGGAGGGAAGUAUCAACUUUAAUGCUAACCUGCAGCUAGACCGUUUCUGUAAACAUGGAGGCAAAUGGUCUGAGGUCUCAUACAUGCAGGUUUUCUUUGCCUUGCAGGAUAAUCUGGACCUUUGCUGAUAUUGUAGGAUAGAUCCAGCCUGCCUAGCAGUCAUCUCAGGAGUGGCUGCAAAGGACAGUCCCAGGGAAGUAAACCCCAGGGAAGUAAACCCCAGAGGUGCCUCCAGCAGGGGGAUCAGACCCCUCCAGUCCUACUCCUGGUCCAUCAUGUCCUCCCUAUCCAGGUUCUCUCUCAAGCUUGUCCUCUCCUAGGAAUCCUCGUUUCAGGCAGGUCCCAGCCUCACUCAUGCCCCUACAAGAGAUGCCUUGUGAAUACGGCCCCAUUAAGGUAUAGACGUGUUUGCUCAUGUCUUUUUUCUACAGGACUUAAGACAAAUUAAGGGGGAUCUUGGUAAGUUUUCAGAUGACCCUGAAGGGUAUAUAGAGGCUUUCCAGAAUUUAAACCAAGUAUUUGAACUCUCCUGGAAGGAUGUUAUGUUACUUUUGAAUCAAACCUUGACUACCACUAAGAAGCAAACAGCCCUGCAAGCAGCAGAGAAGUUUGUGGAUGAGCUUUGUAUCUCAUACAGUGCCAAGAAAGGGAGAGGAUAUGCAAGAAAAAGACAGAAAAAUCUAUUGGCCACCCUGCAGCCUUACAAACCCCAGAAUCCCAAAGAUGCACCUGUUAACUGCGACAAAUGUGGCAAACCAGGGAAUGUUAAAAAGGACUGCCCAGGCAGCAUGAGGAAGCCAGCUCGACCCUGUCCAAUCUGUCGUGGGGACCACUGGAGGGUGGACUGUCCCCAGAGAUGCAGGUCACUGGGUCCAAAGCCAGUCUCACAAGUGUCUAACAGGAUUGAUGGACCCCAGGGCUCCCGUCCCUGGCUCUGACAGCUCAGACUGCCAUUACCAUCCAGGAGCCCUGAAUGAUUCUGGAGGUCGACGGGAGGAAGGUGAACUUCUUCCUGGAUAGCAGAGCAGCCAUUUCUAUUCUCCUCUCCAAUCCAGGCCUCCCUUCUUCCCUUAGCAUGACCAUGAAGGGUGUCUCAGGAAAGCUUUUAACCUGAUAUUUUUCCAACCCCUUAGUUGUAGUUGGGGAGACCUCGUGUUUACUCAUGUCUUUUUAAUCAUGCCCGAAAGCCCAAUUCCUCUGUGAGGCAGGGAUAUUUUAGCUCAUAUGUGAACCACCAUCCUUAUGGCUCCAGGACACACUCCUUGCCUCCCCCUGGUGGAGACUGAUAUCAGUCCAGAAAUUUGGGCAAUUCAAGGGAAAAUUGGCUGAGCCACAACCACCAUACUGAUCUGGAUCCACCUUAAGGAUCCCACCUCCUUCCCUAACCAGAAAAAGUAUCCCCUAAAACUAGAAGCUAGGAAAGGGCUAGAAGCCAUCAUUGAUAACUUGAGGAUGCAGGGCCUCCUCAAACCCUGCAACAGCCCUUGUAGUGCCCCAAUGUUGGGAGUACAGAAACACAAUGGGGAAUGGAGACUGAUCCAGGACUUCUGCCUCAUUAAUGAGGCUGUGGUUCCAAUUCAUCCAGUGUUUCCCAAUCCCUAUACCUUCGUAACUCAAAUACCUGAGGAAACUAAAUGGUUCACAGUCCUGGACCUAAAGGACACUUUUUUUUUUUUGCAAAUUGCUACAUCCUGACUCCCAAUAUUUGUUUGCAUUCAAGGGUCUCUCCAACUAGACCACCCAGUUAACCUGGAUGGUGCUACUCCAAGGAUUCUGGGGUAGUCCUCAUCUGUUUGGACAGGCAUUCUCAAAAGAUCUCUCUGGGUUCCUUCAUCCUUGGGUUAAAGUUUUACAAAAUGUAGAUGACAUUCUCCUUUUUGCCCCAACUGAGGAAAUCUCUCAGGAAGACACUAAGCCUCUUCUUAAUUUUCUAGCUAACAGAGGAUAUAAGGUCUCAACAUCUAAGGCUCAGCUCUGUCAGACUUCAGUGAAGUGCUUAGGUCUAGUCUUGUCAGAGGGGACCAGGGCACUGGGUGAAGACAGGAUUAACCCUGUCUCCUCCUUUCCCUUCCCCCAAACCCUCAAACAACUGAGGGGAUUCUUGGGCAUGACAGGAUUCUGCAGAUUAUGGAUACCUGGGUACAAUGAGAUAGCUCAUCCCUUGUAUCACCUAAUAAACUCAGGCAGCCAAGAUCAAUCCCGAAUUUGGGAACCAGAGGCCAGAAGGGCCUUUGACCAAUUGAAAUAAGCCUUGCUUGGGGCACCAGCCCUUAGUCUUCCCAUAGGGAAGUUGUUCAAUCUUUAUGUAUCAAAAAGGAAGGAAAUGGCCUUGGGAGUUCUAACCCAGGCCUGAGGUCCAGCCCAGCAGCCUGUAGGCUACCUAAGCAAGGAGCUUGAUUUGGUAGCUAAAGGAUGGCUAGCCUGCCUCCAGGCAGUUGCAGUGGUAGCUUUGCUAGUGCCAGAGGCUACUAAGUUAACCAUGGAGAAUAAUAACAUAAUGUGGCAGGACUGCUGUCUUCUAAGAGGAGUCUCUAGCUAACAGACAGCUGCCUCCUCAAAUAUCAGGCUCUGCUAUUGAAGGGAUCUACAGUUCAGUUAAGGACCUGUCUUGGGGCCAGGCGCGGUGCUCACGCCUGUAAUCCCAGCACUUUGGGAGGCUGAGACGGGCAGAUCGCAAGGUCAGGAGACUGAGACCAUCCUGGAUAACACAGUGAAACCCCUUCUCUACUAAAAACAAUACAAAAAAUUAGCCAGGCGUUGUGGCGGGCGCCUGUAGUCCCAGCUACUUGGGAGGCUGAGGCAGGAGAACGGCUUGAACCCGGGAGGCGGAGCUUGCAGUGAGCCAAGAUCGCCCCACUGCACUCCAGACUGGGAGAGAGAGCGAGACUCCGUCUC